rnacentral:rRNA from 1 species
AUUGAACGCUGGCGGCAGGCUUAACACAUGCAAGUCGAGCGGAGAUGAGGUGCUUGCACCUUAUCUUAGCGGCGGACGGGUGAGUAAUGCUUAGGAAUCUGCCUAUUAGUGGGGGACAACAUUCCGAAAGGAAUGCUAAUACCGCAUACGCCCUACGGGGGAAAGCAGGGGAUCUUCGGACCAUGCGCUAAUAGAUGAGCCUAAGUCGGAUUAGCUAGUUGGUGGGGUAAAGGCCUACCAAGGCGACGAUCUGUAGCGGGUCUGAGAGGAUGAUCCGCCACACUGGGACUGAGAAACGGCCCAGACUCCUACGGGAGGCAGCAGUGGGGAAUAUUGGACAAUGGGCGGAAGCCUGAUCCAGCCAUGCCGCGUGUGUGAAGAAGGCCUUUUGGUUGUAAAGCACUUUAAGCGAGGAGGAGGCUACCUGGAUUAAUACUCUAGGAUAGUGGACGUUACUCGCAGAAUAAGCACCGGCUAACUCUGUGCCAGCAGCCGCAGUAAAAC